ensembl:lncRNA
GGCAAACACAGGUCUUCUUUCUUCCCUUAUCACAUAUAAUGAUCUUUGUAAUAAAUCAUUCCUUUGAAUAUUUCUUUAAUAUUUUCAUGAAUAUUAUCUGAUUCUUUUCUGAUUAUUUUUUGGAUGAUAUUUUGAAUUUUUUUUUUCACCAACCAUCAUCCCACUGGUUCCCUAUGAAGAUCACUCCAUUUGUUUUCCUGGCAAGAUAGUAGAAAGCAAGAUAUGUGGCAAACACAGGUUUCCUUCCCCCCUUAUCACAUUUGAUAAUCUUUGUAAUCAAUCAUUCCUUUGAAUAUUUCUUGAAUAUUUUCAUGAAUAUUUUCGUGAAUAUUUUUGGAUAUUUUUUUGAAUAUUUUUUGAAUAUUUUUUGAAUAUUCUUUGAAUAUUUUUUGAAUAUUUUUUGAAUAUUUUUUGAAUAUUUUUUGAAUAUUUUUUGAAUAUUCUUUGAAUAUUUUUUAUUUCACCAACCAUCAUCACACUGGUUCCCUAUGAAGAUCACUCCUUUUGUUUUCCUGGUAAUAUUGUAGAACGCAAGAUAUGUGGCAAACACAGGUUUCCUUCCCCCCUCAUCACAUUUGAUAAUCUUUGUAAUCAAUUAUUCCUUUGAAUAUUUCUUGAAUAUUUUCAUGAAUAUUUUCGUGAGUAUUUCCGUGAAUAUUUUUUGAUUAUUUUUUAUUUCACCAACCAUCAUCACACUGGUUCCCUAUGAAGAUCACUCCUUUUGUUUUCCUGGCAAUAUUGUAGAAACGCAAGAUAUGUAGCAAACACAUGUUUCUUUCCCCCCUUAUCACAUUUGAUAAUCUUUGUAAUCAAUCAUUCCUUUGUAUAUUUCUUGAAUAUUUUCAUGAAUAUUUCCGUGAAUAUUUCUGUGAAUAUUUUUUGAUUAUUUUUUGAAUAUUUUUUAUUUCACCAACCAUCAUCACACUGGUUCCCUAUGAAGAUCACUCCUUUUGUUUUCCUGGCAAUAUUGUAGAACGCAAGAUAUGUGGCAAACACAUGUUUCUUUCCCCCCUUAUCACAUUUGAUAAUCAUUGUAAUCAAUCAUUCCUUUGAUUAUUUCUUGAAUAUUUCCGUGAAUAUUUUCGUGAAUAUUUCCGUGAAUAUUUUUUGAUUAUUUUUUUGAUUAUUUUUUGAUUCUUUUUUAUUUCACCAACCAUCAUCACACUGGUUCCCUAGGAAGAUCACUUCUUUUGUUUUCCUGGCAAUAUUGUAGAACGCAAGAUAUGUGGCAAACACAGGUUUCCUCCCCCCCUUAUCACAUUUGAUAAUCUUUGUAAUCAAUCAUUCCUUUGAAUAUUUCUUGAAUAUUUUCGUGAAUAUUUCCGUGAAUAUUUUUUGAUUAUUUUUUUGAUUAUUUUUUGAAUAUUUUUUAUUUCGCCAACCAUCAUCACACUGGUUCCCUAUGAAGAUCACUCCUUUUGUUUUCCCGGCAAUUUUGUAGAACGCAAGAUAUGUGGCAAACACAGGUUUCCUUCCCCCCUUAUCAUAUUUGAUAAUCUUGGUAAACAAUCAUUCCUUUAAAUAUUUAAAGAAUA